ensembl:ncRNA lncRNA:CR44708 long non-coding RNA:CR44708
AUACAUUUAACAGCCGGGCUUGUUGCAUAAAAAUAUAGGAAACUGACGGCGAGAGGAGAAGCUGAAGCCAUACACCUAUUUUCACAUCUUUCUCAUCCAUCCGGACGGUGUUUCCUGGAUAAUCGUCCUCGAGGAUGGCAAAGUCCAACAGGCAAAUAUCGCGGGAACAUCCUGUCGCCACUUGGUCAUCCCUUUCGCGGAGCAUACUCCAAUGGAAGCAUCCAAUCCAAUGAGCGAAGUUAAAAAAAGGGAAUGAAAUGUCGCAAUAGGUGCGCAUCGUCACUACGCGGACAGGCGGCCAUAGUGAUUAAUAUGCC